CAGUGUGGCUUUCUUAUCAUUUCUCGGGAUGCAGGAGUACGAAUCUUAUUGGGGACGAAUCUGGGUCUCACCUUGUCGUGUGACGUCAUGAGUUGCCAUUUUUCAUUGGUCGAGGUAUUUAUAGAUACUUCCGAAACAACAACAACGACCGGCUUUCCUCAGGAAUUUGAUGUAAACACUGGGAAUAGAUUUGUAUCGAGCACAUAGUUUUAUUCAUGUUUGAGCUCAUAAACAUUAUCAUUUCAUAAUCUUGGUACCAUAUACAACAUAUUUACCGCCAAUAUAAUUGAAUUACACAGGAUAUCGAGGAUUUCGCUGCUGAAGUUGUUAUAAAUUUUACAAGACAUAUGAAUUGAGAUGUAUGUGGGUACCUACAAGCACAGUCACAGAUAGUAACAGAGGUUGGCAUGGGCUGCACAUAACUUUACAGUGGUGACGGGAACAGGGAACCCCGCUGUAUCCAGUUAUACAAGAACAUGAGUAACUGUCGACACCAUCAACACAAGUACCAUGUGAUCCACAGACAUCCGGAAUACAGUCGUCAAUGUCUGCAAAAUAUUUUUAAAGGGUGAAUGGAAUAACU